CUGUGCAAAAGCCAGCAAGGACUUCGCAAAUCCACUUCGAAAGCUGCUCUUCCUUCACCCGAUCCCCAAGCUUGACUUCGCAAUUGCAUGCGCUGCGCCCCCAAUCCUUCCAAAAUAUUGUCGGUAGAAAUGAGAUAGUUUUGCAGGAGCCGAGCUGCUAACACUGUUCCGCACUCGGUUCUGAAAUGCAUGGGGUGUGACCUUCGAGCAGCCUAACCUACCUCACAGGGUUGUUGUAGGGGUUUAAUGAGGGAGGGGGGGAAACCAUGUAUAGCACCUUGCGCUCCUUGGGCGGAGAGGUGGAAUAUAAAUAGAAGAAAAUGAAGAGGAAGAGGAAGAAGAAGAGGAGGAGGAGGUGG